rnacentral:antisense_RNA from 1 species
UGUGGGAGCUGGCUUGCCUGCGAUUGCGCAGUGUCAGGCGACAUUUGUAAACCUGACCCACUGCCAUCGCAGGCAAGCCAGCUCCCACA